CAGUAGCCGCGGUAAAACGUAGGUGGCAAGCGUUGUCCGGAAUUAUUGGGCGUAAAGGGCUCGCAGGCGGUUUCUUAAGUCUGAUGUGAAAGCCCCCGGCUCAACCGGGGAGGGUCAUUGGAAACUGGGAAACUUGAGUGCAGAAGAGGAGAGUGGAAUUCCACGUGUAGCGGUGAAAUGCGUAGAGAUGUGGAGGAACACCAGUGGCGAAGGCGACUCUCUGGUCUGUAACUGACGCUGAGGAGCGAAAGCGUGGGGAGCGAACAGGAUUAGAUACCCGUGUAGUCCCUGUCUCUUAUAC
rnacentral:rRNA from 1 species